rnacentral:rRNA from 1 species
UGAGGAACAUGACCUUCGGCGGGGGAUAGCCGGCCCAACGGCCGGGUAAUACCGCGUACGACCGUCUAGGGACAUCCCUGGAUGGUGAAAGCAGCAAUGCGCCGAUGGAGUGCCUCGCGGCCUAUCAGCUAGUUGGUGAGGUAACGGCUCACCAAGGCGACGACGGGUAGCUGGUCUGAGAGGAUGGCCAGCCACAUUGGGACUGAGACACGGCCCAGGCUCCGUAGGGAGG